GCUAAGGAUGGUAAGGCCUAAUACGUAAUGAUUCUAUUUAUUUGCUUUUAUUCAUUUGUGUUUUGAAGCUCAAAUUUUGAGUCUACCAGCACAGCUAGGGGAAAAGAAUAAAUUGGAACAGAACAGUUUCCAAACAGUGAAGGAGGUUUUUCCAAACUCAAACCUAAGUGAACGUGAGGAUGAGUUGGCGUUAGGCGAACACAGUCAGUUAUUCAGUCUACCACCUGACAGUGUGUUAAAUUUAAAUUCUGUUAGUGCUGCACAAAAAGAAUCGUUAGUAAUAAGCCCAUGCAGUGAAGGAAGUGAACAAUUGUGGGACCGUAUUUGGGCCGAAAAUGGGUGUGGUACGGAAACCAAGAUAUGGCACAAGUUCAACAUGAAACAUGGAUUAGAAUUUAAUGGGGGAUCAAAUCAAGUCUGGAAGUGUUACAGGAUGGAAGAGUCAGCCUACAGAUGAAAAAACACUGAGAGUGCAUUACCAUUAAGUACAACAGCAAUCCUUUAUAGUUCUGUCACAGCUAGAAACCUCAAAUAAUUCUGCUUCUCUGUCUAAAGAACAACUUGUCCUUUACGUUCAGAGUGUUGGGGAAACUGGGUACUUAAAUGGCCCUAAAGAUGUUUUAAUUUUGCUGCCAUUGCAGAGAUGAACAUCAUACAUGGACUCUUUAGGUCUAAUCUACCAAAAAAAAUUUUAUCCAAUAGGAAAGGAUUUUCAUGUACUGGGAACACAACUAUCAACAAUGCAACAUUGUACAGGUGCUAGUUUAUCAUUCAAGAGCCUUAUACAAUGAUGUUAAUCUGCAAUUUGUAUGUCCUUCCCCAAGCUUCCACCAGAAGUUGAAUCUAUGAGUCAUGUAAGUUACAUGAUCAACAGUUGAUAUGUUUAACGGUGUUGUUUUUCUUUUCUCAAUAUAGGUUAAUAGUAACAUUGGAUCUGAAAAAAUUCUUGGUUGGGGCAAGACACUGAAUAAAUUGUAUUGAUUGGAUGGAUGACAUGACAUUUCUAUACUUAAUUCGGAUUCCCCAGACGGUAUUUGAUAUUAAAAAAAUUGAAGUGCAUAUCUGGGCUCCCUUCUUUUCUGAAGCCCCGUUUCCCCUUGACUCGUAAUAAGCCCGUAGGGGGUCAUGCCCCUACUGUACGGUAUAUAUAAAAACAACAUAUACCGAGGUUUGGAGGGCUCUGGCCGGAAAGGGGACGUGGGGUGCCGCUUAGUCCGAUGAUGU